CAGUAGCCGCGGUAAUACGAAGGGGGCUAGCGUUGUUCGGAAUUACUGGGCGUAAAGCGCACGUAGGCGGCUUGGUAAGUUAGAGGUGAAAGCCUGGAGCUCAACUCCAGAAUUGCCUUUAAGACUGCCGAGCUAGCAGGUGAGAGAGGUAAGUGGAAUUCCGAGUGUAGAGGUGAAAUUCGUAGAUAUUCGGAAGAACACCAGUGGCGAAGGCGGCUUACUGGCUCAUACUGGACGCUGAGGUGCGAAAGCGUGGGGAGCAAACAGGAUUAGAUACCCCGGUAGUCCCUGUCUCUUAUAA
rnacentral:rRNA from 1 species